rnacentral:lncRNA from 1 species
GCUCCCAGCGAUGGGGACCGGCGCCCUGCCCGCCGCAUCCGCGGCUGGAACGGUUCUGCCUUUCGCCGUGCCCGCCGCUCCGGCGGCUUGAGCAGCGCCUCUGGCUCCCGCCCCCCCCCCUCCCCCCGCUGUCUCAGCAGCAGCACCUCUGCCUCCCUCGCCCGCUGGUGCUUCAGUGCCCGUGAUGCCUGCUGCGCCCCAGCAGCCAGUGCCGUUCCUGUCAUCGAUGACACAUCCACGGUGUUGCAAGCUCCUGCUGACCCUUUCGUCUUGCCGUCUGCGACGGAGGGAUUCGCCGAGCGGCCGGUGAUGGUUCCAGUCCCCGCCCCGUCACCAGCGGCUGGCCCACCUGGUUCGGGAGCUGUUGGCUCGGGGGCCCAGCCCAGUGCUUCGGCUUCGCAGUCGAUAGCCGCCUGCCCAGCCUCGGUGUCUCCUGUCAGCCCACCCUCCCUCGUGGAUCGCGGACUGUCCCACACGCCCCUGUCACAGGAGGCAGCAUCUUUGCAGGCAGGCCUGUCGUCCUCAUUGACUGGUCGGCACAAGAUGGAGAAGAAGAAGAAGGGCAAGCAGGAACCCGCAUUGCUCAACUUGUGCCUUUCCAGUCGUGUGUUCCCAGAGCAGAUCAGCAGAUGCGUGGAGAUGGUGGUUUCGAAUCCACAGGACCUACGCAAGUCCUCUGGUCCUCGCUCAUUUCUGCCAACCGUCCACAAAUGGUGUGCUCCGUGGUUUUGCCAGGUGCCAGCCCGUCUCGGAUUCAUCUGCAAGGUUUGAUCGACACCGGGGCUGACGUGACAGUCGUCUCCGCCUCUGUGUGGCCUCCUAAGUGGCCUUUGGACUCCGUGGGAGUGGCCAUUGAAGGCUUGGGAGUUGCAGUACAGACAUUUAUGUGCCGGCAGGCUGUGUUGAGCAAAAACAUGGAAGGGCAGACAGCAAAGGUUCGGCCCUAUGUUACUGCAGCUCCGGUCACUCUUUGGGGGCGGGAUGUGCCGGCAGCCUGGGGUGUGCGCAUCGGGACGGAUUUUUGAUGGGGGUCACUGUGUUGAAGGGCGCAGAUUACCCUACACUGCCUUUGCGGUGGUUGGUGACCAGAGCCGACCUCCUUGGAAGUAUUUGGGGGUCAAGAUUCUGGAGCAAACCAUUCAGCAUCAGGAGGUGCAAUUUCCAGAGACUAUUGCAACGCUGAAUGAUGCCCAGAGAUUGCUUGGGGUCCUCAAUUGGUUACGUCCCUAUCUGGGGCUGACCACGGCGCAGCUGUCCCUGCUGUUCAAACUUUUAAAGGGGGACCCGGACCUGAGUUCGCCUUGGAAAUUGACUCUUGAAGCGCGGCAAGCGCUGGAGGAGGUUCAAAAGGCUCUGUCUACUCGUCCGGUUUACCAAGUAGACCCUUCCAUUGAUAUCACUGUCUGAAGGUAACGCCAGGGCUGAUAGGUUGGCUAACCCUGCGUGGGUGGCACCUCAGCCUGAUAGAACUGCGCAAGCCAAGGCAUUGCAUGACUUUUUUCACCAAAGUGCACAUACUUUGCAAAAACAGUUUGAUUUGACAGCAACCGAGGCUCGUGACAUUGUCAGCUCUUGUGCUGACUGUCAUGGGUUUGCUGCACCUUUACCGGCGGGGGUGGACCCCAGAGGCCUGAAGGCCUUGCAGCGCUGGCAAACAGAUGUUACACACAUUGCUGAGUUUGCUCGACUUAAGUAUGUGCAUGUGUCUGUCGACACCUUCUCCUCCGCCAUGUGGGCAACUGUUCACACGGGGGAGAAGAGUCGCGACGCAAUUGCUCAUUGGAGGAUGGCUUUUGCAGUUCUGGGGAUACCUUCGUGCGUAAAGACUGACAAUGGCCCUGCCUAUGCCUCACAGAAGUUAUGUCAGUUUUUGCACCUGUGGGGAGUCUCACACAAGUUUGGUACUGCACAUUCACCCACAGCUCAAGCCAUUGUUGAACGCGUGCAUGGCACUUUAAAGCGUGUUCUGGAGAAACAAAAAGGGGGAAUGCCAGGAGAGACUCCACACAGUCGGUUGGAGAAAGCUUUGUAUACAAUCAACCAUUUAACUGUGCCAAAGAAUUCAGAGAUUCCUGUCAUUUUGAAUCAUUUUCUCUCAUUGCAUUCAGCAGGUGAGACGCAUCUGCCCUGAGCGCAGGUCUGGGUGCGAGACCUUGUCACCAAUAGGUGGGAGGGUCCGUGCAACCUCAUUACUUGGGGCCGCGGGUAUGCAUGUGUCUCCACAGGUACCAGGGUACGAUGGAUACUUGCAAAGUGUGUUCGCCCUGACUUGAGACAGCAGAAACAGAGUGUGGUCAACAGAUAGCCUGUGAGCAGUGACCAUGCUGCUGACCAUCCAUCACAAUCUUCAGAUGAUGAUCAAGACAUCAACCAUCAGUCAGCCAGCCCCUCCACGAGGGGGAAAUGAACAUUUGAUUUGCUUUGCUUUUUGGACAUGAACUGGUGACGAGUUAGACUGCCUGUGUUACAAGCAGACUAACAAUGUUUUGGUGUUGGUGAUGGAGUUUUAGAUUUAAUAGUUAAGUUUGUAAAGAGUUAUAGUGUAAGUCAAAAUCUCUUUGACUGUUCUGAGCCAACAUUCAAUGAGGUUUUGAAUCAUCAACUAGUGAACCUCGGAGUCGUGUUUGUCCUCUCUUCUGCAAGAGACCUUGCAAAAAGGAGACAAACACUGCCUUCUUUUUUAAAACUAAAAGAGAAGACAUGUGGGUCUCAGAUUCAGUCAAAGAAAGAAAUUGAGAGUUUCUAGCCAGGCAAAAGCCUGGGAAAGAGCUGGAAAAGAAUGUAAAUAAUUCUUUAUCUCUCUUGACCUCACACUGUUUAUAGUUAAGUUCUGUCACUGUGCGUCAAGCACUCUGAACCAAUGUUGUAGUUUGUUUUCACUUUAGGACCAAUGGAUUUAACCUUUGCAAAGCUCUGUAUAAAAGAGCAGUGUAUUUUGAAUAAAUCGGAGUUUUCACUCUC